rnacentral:lncRNA from 1 species
ACACAAUGGGAUUCCUCUAUGUAGUCCCCCCUCCCAGGUUAAGCAAGAGCUGGUUGUCAUGGUGAUGCUUGUAAUCUGAGCCCUGCCGGUCGCUCUUUGGCUCUGGUUCAUGGUCCUGCAGGCUCCAGAUGGGGGCUGUGGUUUCCGCCAUUGCUGCUGCCCAGUUUCUCUUUCCUUGACCCCAGGCCUUGGGGUCACUGUCCCUGUCUCCACUUCUACCACCACUGAAGCAGCAGUGCUAGUAGUUCAGUUGUCAAAACUGGGAAAUAUCCUUUCUCUGGAUAUGAGAGUUUGGAUCCACACAAGAAGCUGAAGAGGAACAGAGGAACACUGCGUGUUUUGUAGACAUGAUGAGAUGCCAAGAUACAAUGUACCAUAUCCAAAAAAUGCUAGCAACACCGCUCGUUGAUGAUCCACCUUGUGAUUGUGUGUCUGACUGGGAACUGCGGUCGUUCCCCCUGAGUAGCCUCAUAUGAGAGUGCUGCACAACAUCUUGCUAACUCAGGAGAAUGCCAAAAUUCAAAUCUAUAGUUUCUACCAAAUGAACAUAGCUUUCACAAGGACAUAAAAAUUGAAAAUUGUAAGUUGAACC